AUUGAACGCUGGCGGCAGGCCUAACACAUGCAAGUCGAGCGGAUCGGCGGCCGGGUGAGUAAUGCCUAUGAAUCUGACUGGUAGUGGGGGAUAACGUCCGGAACCGGGCGCUAAUAUCGCAUACUCUCAGAUGAGCCUAGGUCGGAUUAGGUAGUUGGUGGGGUAAAGGCAUACCAAGGCGACGGGCCGUAACUGGUCUGAGAGGAUGAUCAGUCACACUGGAACUGAGACACGGUCCAGACUCCUACGGGAGGCAGCAGUGGGGAAUAUUGGACAAUGGGCGAAAGCCUGAUCCAGCCAUGCCGCGUGUGUGAAGAAGGUCUUCGGAUUGUAAAGCACUUUAAGUUGGGAGGCGUUACCAACAGAAUAAGCACCGGCUAACUUCGUGCCAGCAGCCGCGGUAAUAC
rnacentral:rRNA from 1 species